UAUGCCGAGGAUUUGAUCGUCACCCCCUUUGCUCAGGUCCUGGCCAGCCUCCGCAGUGUCCGCUCCAACCUCUCCGUCCUGACCGAGCCCGGCAGCGCGAGGUCUCCGGUGGGAGCCCAACCCCCCCCGGGCGGGGCCGCGCUCUCAGAGGCCACCUCCCAGCAGCUGGCCCUG